GAUGAAGAACGUAGCGAAAUGCGAUACGUAAUGUGAAUUGCAGAAUUCAGUGAAUCAUCGAAUCUUUGAACGCAUAUUGCGCUCUCUGGUAUUCCGGAGAGCAUGCUUGUUUGAGUAUCAGUAAACACCUCAACUUCCAUAUCUUUUUUGAAAUGGGAGUUGGACUUGAGUGAUCCCAACGCUUUUCCUCACCGAAAAGUGGCGGGUUACUUGAAAUGCAGGUGCAGCUGGACUUUUCUCUGAGCUAUAAGCAUAUCUAUUUAGUCUGCCUAAAAAACAGAUUAUUACCUUUGCUGCAGCUAACAUAAAGGAGAUUAGUUCUUGUGCUGACUGAUGCAGGAUUCACAAAGACAGGCUUCGGCCGACUUUGUAAACUCGAUCUCAAAUCAAGUAGGACUACCCGCUGAACUUAAGCAUAUCAAUAAGCGGAGGA
rnacentral:misc_RNA from 1 species